rnacentral:rRNA from 1 species
AUGGCAACGCGGAUCCCGAUGAGGUUGGAGAGGCGGCAGCAACGAGCUUCAGGACGGAGCUCCAGGCGGCGGCUUGGUGCUCGUCUGGCAGCGAGGCGGCACAGGAGGACGGACUUGGCGCCGGGGAUGACGUGGCUGCAGCCAGAUCCAUCCGCGAAUGGGAAGGGACGGCGAAGGCCGGCCGGACCUGGUCGUUGGGCGGCGGAGGUCGGGGCCAUCCAUGUCGAGGUAGGGCGCAGCGGCGAGGUGAAGCAGCAGCAUGCGGGGCGAGGGAAGGUCCCUGGUGACGGGGCACCGACGAGCGGAGGCGGGCGGCGAAGGUGCUGCAGGGAGCAGGGGAGAGGAGACGCUGCGAGGGGAGGUUCGGGCAUGAGGUGCGGCGUGAGGGAGAUGGGCAAGGAUCGAGCGAGUCUAACCCUGGUGGCGCGUGGUGGGGAACGAGGGGAUCGGGACGAGAGGCUGCUAGCGGCUAGGGUUAAGGAGAUGGUGGGGCGCCUGGGCCUAGCAGGCCUGCUUGUGGCCUAA